GUUUGGGAAUUUGGACCAGGGAAAAGUGGCUGAGGUCUGCCGUGGUCACGCAUGAAAGUUACUCUCCAUUUCCUGCUUCACUGCCCUGGAGGAGGCUGCCAGAAGUCAGAACAAGCCUGACUCUUUCUACCUCCAGUCCCUGCCUUUCUGUCCAAGGCAGCAGCUACUGCAGAUGGUGAAAGAGAAUCCCCCUUUGAGAGAAAAAGGUAGAGCAACAUGUUUUCAUGAAGUUUCCCAGUCAAUGCUUGGCCCUAAGAAUCACCUGGAAAGAUAAUCACGAUGGACACAGGAUCUCCAGAGAAGACCUGGGAUUUGUAUCUUUCACAAAGGCCCAGAGUAAUUUGGGUAAUCAGAAACACUGGGGUACACAUGAAAGGGGGAACAGGGAGACAUGAAGAAGAAAACAACCCUGGAGUCCGGGUGCUGAUUGCCUUUUUUAUUCGCUUGAAAACCCUCCCGGUGGAUUGAUUUGUGAUUUGGAUACCACUUCUCCAGCUUGGGACUCUGAAGUCUGUGCUUGUCAUGCACUUCAGACAGUCAGCAGCCUUCUCACAGGUUUUUCAUCCACUGAAGUUCUUACCCUCACUUGUCUGCUGCUGAACUUUAAAUUAAAACCUUAUAAUCUCCCCAGUAUGAUUUGCCACAUUCUUGAUCUAACCCAGGGACUGGCAAGCUUUUUCUGUAAAGGGCCAGACAGUAAACAUUUUCAGCUUUGAGGACCAUAUGGUUACUGUUACAACCACUCAACUCUUCCAGGUAGCAGGAAAGCAGCCAUAAACAACAUGCAAAAAAACUGGCAUGGCUGUGCUCCAAUAAAACUUUAUUUACAAAAACAGGCACUGACUUGCAGGCUACAGAUUGCAGACCCCUAGUCUGAUUGAAUUUUAGCUCCUCUUCUUCCACAUCUACCAUUUCCAAUGGACUGAAAAAAUGGCACCCUAAAGAUAUCCAUGUUCUCAUCUCUGAAAUUUGUACAUGUUAACUCAUAUGAUUAAAGAAAAGAGAAGUUCUUUGCAUAUGUGAUUAUGUUAAGGGUCUUGAGAUGGGGAGAUUAUUCUGAAUUAUCCAGGUAGGUCCUAAAGCAGUCACAUUCAUAUCCUUUUAAGAGGGAGGGAAAGGGAGAGUUGAUGAUGCCCACACAGGAGAGGAGAAGGCAAUGGGGCCAAGGAGGAAGACGUUGGGAUGACGAGUCUACAAUGCAAGGAAUGCCAGCAACCACCAGGAAUUGGAAGAGGCGAGCAAAGGAAUCUUUCAUAGAGCAUCCAGAUGAAGCCCAGCUUUGGUUUGUGCUUGAUUUCAGCUCCAUAAGACUCAUUUCAAAUUUCUGGCCUCCAGAACUGUAAGAGAAUAAAUUGAUGUUGUUUUAAGCCAUGAAAUUUGUGGCUCUAGGAAACUUACCCCCUUGUUACUCAUGACUAUUGUCUCACUUUUUAAAAAAAUUUUAUAAAAUCUAUUUAUUUCCUAGAUGGACAUUAUCUCUUAUUAAACAAUGAACAAAAUAUGUGAUAUACAAUCGUGCAUUUAAAACAUGGAAAGACAAACCAAUAUCUUAAAGUACAUGAAGACAAACUUCAGGAGACAAAUAUUAAAUAUAUCCAAAAACUAAUCGGACCUGGACUUUGCUUACAAAUUGUUUAAAUGGAAAUGGAAUUCAUGUUUAAGAAAUGUUUUCACUGAUGGAAGAAUAAAUCUAACAAAACCAUUAUGUAAAAACAUAGAUUUACAAAGCCAAUGUGUCUCUUAGUUUUAAUUUUUA
rnacentral:lncRNA from 1 species